GACGAACGCUGGCGGCGUGCCUAAUACAUGCAAGUCGAACGCUGAAGAGAGGAGCUUGCUCUUCUUGGAUGAGUUGCGAACGGGUGAGUAACGCGUAGGUAACCUGCCUGGUAGCGGGGGAUAACUAUUGGAAACGAUAGCUAAUACCGCAUAAAAUGGAUUAUCGCAUGAUAAUCCAUUGAAAGGUGCAAAUGCAUCACUACCAGAUGGACCUGCGUUGUAUUAGCUAGUUGGUGGGGUAACGGCUCACCAAGGCGACGAUACAUAGCCGACCUGAGAGGGUGAUCGGCCACACUGGGACUGAGACACGGCCCAGACUCCUACGGGAGGCAGCAGUAGGGAAUCUUCGGCAAUGGACGGAAGUCUGACCGAGCAACGCCGCGGGAGUGAAGAAGGUUGUCGGAUCGUAAAGCUCUGUUGUAAGAGAAGAACGAGUGUGAGAGUGGAAAGUUCACACUGUGACGGUAGCUUACCAGAAAGGGACGGCUAACUACGUG
rnacentral:rRNA from 1 species